ensembl:snoRNA U8 U8 small nucleolar RNA
UCGUCAGGUGGGAUAAUCCUUACCUAUUACUCCAUAUGGAGAGCAGAUUAGGAAAGGAUAAUGGGAGCUCGCAUGAUACGUGAUUAUACAUCUCCAUGUAAUCAGGACUUGCAACAAAAGUGAUCCAUGUAAUCAAAA